rnacentral:rRNA from 1 species
ACGAGUGUAAAACUCCCAAACCAUUGUGAACCUACCACUGUUGCUUCGGCGGCCUCGCCCCGGGCGCGUUCGCGCGGCCCGGACCCAGGCGUCCGCCGGAGGCUCCAAACUCUUGUCUUUUAGUGUAUUUCUGAGUGGCAUAAGCAAAUAAAUCAAAACUUUCAGCAACGGAUCUCUUGGUUCUGGCAUCGAUGAAGAACGCAGCAAAAUGCGAUAAGUAAUGUGAAUUGCAGAAUUCAGUGAAUCAUCGAAUCUUUGAACGCACAUUGCGCCCGCCAGUAUUCUGGCGGGCAUGCCUGUCUGAGCGUCAUUUCAACCCUCAGGACCCGUUCGCGGGACCUGGCGUUGGGGAUCAGCCUGCCCCUGGCGGCGGCUGGCCCUGAAAUCCAGUGGCGGUUCCCUCGCGAACUCCUCCGUGCAGUAAUUAAACCUCUCGCGGCAGGAUAGCGGUUGAACCACGCCGUUAAACCCCCCACUUCUCAAGGUUGACCUCAGAUCAGGUAGGAA